rnacentral:rRNA from 1 species
AUUGAACGCUGGCGGCAGGCCUAACACAUGCAAGUCGAGCGGAUGAAGGGAGCUUGCUCCUGGAUUCAGCGGCGGACGGGUGAGUAAUGCCUAGGAAUCUGCCUGGUAGUGGGGGAUAACGUCCGGAAACGGGCGCUAAUACCGCAUACGUCCUGAGGGAGAAAGUGGGGGAUCUUCGGACCUCACGCUAUCAGAUGAGCCUAGGUCGGAUUAGCUAGUUGGUGGGGUAAAGGCCUACCAAGGCGACGAUCCGUAACUGGUCUGAGAGGAUGAUCAGUCACACGGGAACUGAGACCCGGUCCAGCCUCCUACGGGGGGCAGCAGUGGGGAAUUUUGGACAAUGGGCGAAAGCCUGAUCCAGCCAUGCCGCGUGUGUGAAGAAGGUCUUCGGUUUGUAAAGCACUUUAAGUUGGGGGGAAGGGCAGUAAGUUAAUACCUUGCUUUUUUGACUUUACCAACAGAAUAAGCCCCGGCUAACUUCGU